rnacentral:SRP_RNA from 1 species
GUCGGGCGCGGUGGUGGGUGCCUUUAGUCCCGGCUACUCGGGAGGCUGAGGUGGGAGGAUCCCUUGAGCCUAGGAGCUCUGGGCUGUAGUGCGCUAUGCCGAUGGGGUGUCCGCACUAAGUUUGGCAUCAAUAUGGUUACCUCCCGGGAGCGGAGGACCACCAGGUUGCCUAAGGAGGGGUGAACCGGCCCAGGUUGGAAAUGGAGUAGGUCAAAACUCCCAUGCUGAUCAGUAGUGGGAUUGCGCCUGUGAAUAGCCACUGCACUCCAGCCUGGGCAACAUAGCGAGACCCUGUCUCU